UAGUGGUUAGAGGGUUGGCAGGUAGCCUAGUGGUUAGAGGGGAGGCAGGUAGCCUAGUGGUUAGAGGGGUGGCAGGUAGCCUAGUGGUUAGAGGGGAGGCAGGUAGCCUAGUGGUUAGAGGGGAGGCAGGUAGCCUAGUGGUUAGAGGGGAGGCAGGUAGCCUAGUGGUUAGAGGGGUGGCAGGUAGCCUAGUGGUUAGAGGGGAGGCAGGUAGCCUAGUGGUUAGAGGGGAGGCAGGUAGCCUAGUGGUUAGAGGGGAGGCAGGUAGCCUAGUGGUUAGAGGGCGGCAGGUAGCCUAGUGGUUAGAGGGGAGGCAGGUAGCCUAGUGGUUAGAGGGGAGGCAGGUAGCCUAGUGGUUAGAGGGGAGGCAGGUAGCCUAGUGGUUAGAGGGGAGGCAGGGGGCGCCAG
ensembl:lncRNA